rnacentral:rRNA from 1 species
GAAAUUGAAAUCGCUGUGAAGAUGCAGUGUACCCGCGGCUAGACGGAAAGACCCCGUGAACCUUUACUACAGCUUGGCACUGAACAUUGACCCUACAUGUGUAGGAUAGGUGGGAGGCUUUGAAGCAGGUACGCCAGUAUCUGUGGAGCCGUCCUUGAAAUACCACCCUUGUAGUGUUGAUGUUCUAACGUCGACCCCUUAUCGGGGUUGCGGACAGUGCCUGGUGGGUAGUUUGACUGGGGCGGUCUCCUCCCAAAGAGUAACGGAG